rnacentral:sRNA from 1 species
ACCCGGGACUUACGCCAAUGUGAAGCUGUUGCGAAUUUCCCGCGGGAAUCUCGCAGCAGCUUC